rnacentral:rRNA from 1 species
AACGAACGCUGGCGGCAGGCUUAACACAUGCAAGUCGAACGCCCCGCACGGGGAGUGGCAGACGGGUGAGUAACGCGUGGGAACAUACCCUUUCCUGCGGAAUAGCUCCGGGAAACUGGAAUUAAUACCGCAUACGCCCUACGGGGGAAAGAUUUAUCGGGGAAGGAUUGGCCCGCGUUGGAUUAGCUAGUUGGUGGGGUAAAGGCCUACCAAGGCGACGAUCCAUAGCUGGUCUGAGAGGAUGAUCAGCCACAUUGGGACUGAGACACGGCCCAAACUCAUACGGGAGGCAGCAGUGGGGAAUAUUGGACAAUGGGCGCAAGCCUGAGCCAGCCAUGCCGCGUGAGUGAUGAAGGCAUUAGGGUUGUAAAGCUCUUUCACCGAUGAAGAUAAUGACGGUAGUCGGAGAAGAAGCCCCGGCUAACUUCGUG